rnacentral:rRNA from 1 species
ACGGGGGGAGCAAGCGUUGUUCGGAUUUACUGGGCGUAAAGGGCGCGUAGGCGGCGCGACAAGUCACUUGUGAAAUCUCCGGGCUUAACUCGGAGCGGCCAAGUGAUACUGUCGUGCUAGAGUGCGGAAGGGGCAACUGGAAUUCUCGGUGUAGCGGUGAAAUGCGUAGAUAUCGAGAGGAACACCGGUGGCGAAGGCGCUCAUCUGGCCCGAUACUGACGCUGAGGCGCGAAAGCUAGGGUAGCGAACGGGA